GAUCCUGGCUCAGGACGAACGCUGGCGGCGCGCCUAACACAUGCAAGUCGAACGGAGAAUGCAGGACUGAAGCCUUCGGGCGGGAUGACUUGUAUUCUUAGUGGCGGACGGGUGAGUAACACGUGAGCAACCUGCCUUCAAGAGGGGGAGUAGCACCUGGAAACGGGUGGUAAUACCGCAUAAGACCACAGCAUCGCAUGGUGCAGAGGUCAAAGGAGCAAUCCGCUUGAAGAUGGG
rnacentral:rRNA from 1 species